GGUUCCGGGGCGCGCGGCGGCUCCUCUCCCGGCCGAGCCGGGUCUGCGAGCGGCGGAGCGCGGGUGGGCCCCACUGGGCCGGGAGCACCCGCUCCUCGGGGUGCUCCCUGGCCUCGGGGACGGGGGGACCCGCCGUGUGACACUGACCCGGGGCCCGCUCUGGCCUCCGGGCCAGGGGAGCCCGAGGGGCGGCGAGGGGGCGGGACGGACUCCACCUUCCGCGUCAGCGCCGACGUCUCCCUGGGCGCCCCCUGCACCGCCGCGCGCUGGGGCGCCCCAUCGAACGCCUCCCCUGGGUCCGCAGGUAGCACUCUCCCACGGGGCCCGACGCGCGCCGGCUUCUCCCGCUGCUUACCCGGCCGCCAGGAACUCAAAUAAUUUCCUCCCAGCGGCACACUCUUCUUGCCGCAUCUACCUCCAGCACAGUUCUGGCCGGAUCUGGAUCUAACACUCUCUUCCACCUUCUGGUCUCCCGUCAGAGGCAACUUUCUCGACUUGACCCCACACUCCCACCCCAUUCUAUGCCCAAACUAGUUUCGCACAUUUUUUUCCCCUUUUGCGUAGUACCUUUUAGUCUUUGACCGUGUGCAACUAUGUUCGCACGAUUUUGAAUCCUUUGAAAAGUCUGUUGAUGGUUUCAAAUUACCAAAGACAUGCUUGCAAAAAAAUAAAAAUAAAAAAAUAGAGAAACA